AUGAGAAAGGCUCCUUUAGGGAUGUUUUGCAGAUACGUCGUACAGGAACAAGCCGAAGAUGAGCUGUAUUAUUUCUUGAUCAAAAACAUUGAAUUAAUCUUAAAAAUUCAUAUUUUUUUUUCUUUUUGUAGGACACAGAACAGAUGUAUUGUAACUGUAUCCUCUUUCUGCAUUAUGCUGCAACUUGACAAAAAUGAGCCACAAGGAGAUACAGUCUGCAAGUAUCUGCGCGUAACUUUCUGUUCAGAAGAAUGGAAAACGAUGCGAAUUUCAACUGUCACACUUCUAAGAAGGGAUCCCUUUCUUGCUGCUUUACGCUAUUGUAGAUUCUCCCGCACAACAGUUCUAGAAUAUGUAGCUGCAAAUCCAGCUGAAGAAACAAGCAGCAGGGAAGAGGAACGUCUUUGGCCGCACCACUAUUCUGGCCACCGUCUAUUGGCCACCCCAGUUGCGCCAAUGCAGUUGUUUGCUGGGACGUGCUGUAACCUAGGGCAAGGGAAUUAUCUGACCUACAACACAUCUUGUUCUGGGAAUUCAUUAUGUUCUCUGAAGAGAUGCUAUACCAUUCCUCUUCUGGGUCUGUGGGAUCCCGUGUGGAGUUAUAUGAGUGUGCAGCAAAUAGCAAUCCUCUUGCUGCUGAAUGGAGAAAGAAUGCUCAGCCUUGAAUAUCAAUUCUAACUGGAGAGACCUGGAGGAUACCUAACCAGAGGGACAGGUGUUUCUAUUACCAAAAAUUUCAGUAAAAAGGCCAAGGACUGAAGAAAUGUGAAGACUGAAUUCUUCCUUUCUCCAUGGCCCCUCAACCAGCUUUUUAUGUCAAGGUGUGGCUGACAGACAAGCUUGGUGUAACUUCCCGUGCUGCCUCUCUUAGGCAGGUAAAGAAAAGUCAACAUGUAAGGUACCUGAUCUGAUGCCUGUAAAAGAAAAUGCAGUAGAGACUGUGGGUUUUAAGAAGAACGAGUCUGUUGUAGGAGAUUAUUUAAGAAAAUAAAUAAAGCAUAACUCAUAACA
rnacentral:lncRNA from 1 species